AUUGAACGCUGGCGGCAUGCCUUACACAUGCAAGUCGAACGGCAGCACGGGAGCAAUCCUGGUGGCGAGUGGCGAACGGGUGAGUAAUAUAUCGGAACGUGCCCAGUCGUGGGGGAUAACGCAGCGAAAGCUGUGCUAAUGCCGCAUACGACCUAUGGAUGAAAGCGGGGGCCCGCAAGGCCUCGCGCGAUUGGAGCGGCCGAUAUCGGAUUAGCUAGUUGGUGGGGUAAAGGCACACCAAGGCGACGAUCUGUAGCUGGUCUGAGAGGACGACCAGCCACACUGGAACUGAGACACGGUCCAGACUCCUACGGGAGGCAGCAGUGGGGAAUUUUGGACAAUGGGCGCAAGCCUGAUCCAGCAAUGCCGCGUGCAGGAUGAAGGCCUUCGGGUUGUAAACUGCUUUUGUACGGAACGAAACGGUGAGCUUUAAUACAGUUUGCUAAUGACGGUACCGUAAGAAUAAGCACCGGCUAACUACGUGCCAGCAGCCGCCGUAAAAC
rnacentral:rRNA from 1 species